rnacentral:rRNA from 1 species
AGUGAACGCUGGCGGUAGGCCUAACACAUGCAAGUCGAACGGCAGCACAGUAAGAGCUUGCUCUUACGGGUGGCGAGUGGCGGACGGGUGAGGAAUACAUCGGAAUCUACUUUUUCGUGGGGGAUAACGUAGGGAAACUUACGCUAAUACCGCAUACGACCUACGGGUGAAAGCAGGGGAUCUUCGGACCUUGCGCGAUUGAAUGAGCCGAUGUCGGAUUAGCUAGUUGGCGGGGUAAAGGCCCACCAAGGCGACGAUCCGUAGCUGGUCUGAGUGGAUGAUCGGCCACACUGGAGCUGAGACACGGUCCAGACUCCUACGGGAGGCAGCAGUGUGGAAUAUGGGACAGUGGGCGCGAGCCUGAUCCAGCCGUACCGCGUGGGUGAAGAAGGCGUUCGGGUUGUAAAGCCCGUUUGUUGGGAAAGAAAAGCAGCAGGUUAAUACCCCGCUGUUCUGACGGUAACCAAAGAAUAAGCACCGGCUAACUUCGUG